AUUGAACGCUGGCGGCAGGCUUAACACAUGCAAGUCGAGCGGAGAUGAGGUGCUUGCACCUUAUCUUAGCGGCGGACGGGUGAGUAAUGCUUAGGAAUCUGCCUAUUAGUGGGGGACAACAUUCCGAAAGGAAUGCUAAUACCGCAUACGUCCUACGGGAGAAAGCAGGGGAUCUUCGGACCUUGCGCUAAUAGAUGAGCCUAAGUCGGAUUAGCUAGUUGGUGGGGUAAAGGCCUACCAAGGCGACGAUCUGUAGCGGGUCUGAGAGGAUGAUCCGCCACACUGGGACUGAGACACGGCCCAGACUCCUACGGGAGGCAGCAGUGGGGAAUAUUGGACAAUGGGGGGAACCCUGAUCCAGCCAUGCCGCGUGUGUGAAGAAGGCCUUAUGGUUGUAAAGCACUUUAGGCGAGGAGGAGGCUACUGAGACUAACACUCUUGGAUAGUGGACGUUACUCGCAGAAUAAGCACCGGCUAACUCUGUGCCAGCAGCCGCUGUAACAC
rnacentral:rRNA from 1 species